UACGUAGGGUGCGAGCGUUGUCCGGAAUUAUUGGGCGUAAAGAGCUCGUAGGCGGUUUGUCGCGUCGGAUGUGAAAACCCAGGGCUCAACCCUGGGCCUGCAUUCGAUACGGGCAGACUAGAGUAUGGCAGGGGAGACUGGAAUUCCUGGUGUAGCGGUGAAAUGCGCAGAUAUCAGGAGGAACACCGGUGGCGAAGGCGGGUCUCUGGGCCAAAACUGACGCUGAGGAGCGAAAGCGUGGGGAGCGAACAGG
rnacentral:rRNA from 1 species